GCGAGUUUUAACUGAGCGUUCAGUUACUUGACGUAGACCCGAAACCGGGCGACCUACCCAUGAGCAGGAUGAAGCGAAAGUAAAAUUUCGUGGAGGUCCGAACCCACGAGCGUUGAAAAGCUCGGGGAUGACUUGUGGGUAGCGGUGAAAUUCCAAUCGAGCCCGGAGAUAGCUGGUUCUCCCCGAAAUAGCUUUAGGGCUAGCCUCAAGGUGAGAGAUACGGAGGUAGAGCACUGAAUGUCCUAGGGGGUAUUGCACCUACCGAAGACUAUCAAACUCCGAAUGCCGUCAUCUUAUACUUGGGAGUCAGACUGUGGGUGAUAAGAUUCAUAGUCGAAAGGGCAACAGCCCAGAUCGUCAGCUAAGGUCCCUAAAUGUAAGUUAAGUGGUAAAGGAUGUGGGAUUGCACAGACAACCAGGAUGUUGGCUUAGAAGCAGCCACUCAUUCAAAGAGUGCGUAAUAGCUCACUGGUCGAGUGAUCCUGCGCCGAAGAUUUCCGGGGCUAAAACUUACUACCGAAGCUACGGCAUCAGUAAUGAUGGGUAGGGGAGCUUCCCAUACGGGUUGAAGCAUGACCGUAAGGACAUGUGGACAGUAUGGGAGUGAGAAUGUUGGCAUGAGUAGCGAGAUGUGGGUGAGAAUCCCACAGGCCGUAAACCCAAGGUUUCCAGGGGAAGGUUCGUCCGCCCUGGGUUAGUCGGGACCUAAGCUGAGGCCGAAAGGCGUAGGUGAUGGACAACAGGUUGAUAUUCCUGUACUACCGAUAACCGUUUGAGAGAAGGGAUGACACAGUAGGAUAAGCUAAGCACACUGUUGGUUAUGUGUGCCCAAGCAUUGAGGCAGUCAAAGUAGGCAAAUCCGCUUUGAUAAUGCUGGGAUGUGAUGGGGAGCGAAAUUUAGUAGCGAAGUAGCUGAUUUCACACUGUCAAGAAAAGUCUCUAUCGAGGUUAAAGGUACCCGUACCGCAAACCGACACAGGUGGGUGAGGAGAGUAUCCUAAGGCCAGCGAGAGAACUGUUGUUAAGGAACUCGGCAAAAUGACCCCGUAACUUAGGGAUAAGGGGUGCCACCAUCAGGUGGCCGCAGAGAAUAGGCCCAAGCGACUGUUUACCAAAAACAUAGGUUUCUGCUAAGUCGCAAGACGAUGUAUAGGAGCUGACGCCUGCCCGGUGCUGGAAGGUUAAGGGGAUCUGUUAGAGCAAUCGAAGCAGUGAACUUAAGCCCCAGUAAACGGCGGCCGUAACUAUAACGGUCCUAAGGUAGCGAAAUUCCUUGUCGGGUAAGUUCCGACCCGCACGAAAGGCGUAACGAUUUGGGCACUGUCUCAACAACAGACUCGGUGAAAUUGUAAUUCCGGUGAAGAUGCCGGAUACCUGCGACAGGACGGAAAGACCCCAUGGAGCUUUACUGUAGCUUGACAUUGGGUCUUGGUACUACAUGUACAGGAUAGGUGGGAGGCUUUGAAACCAGGACGCCAGUUUUGGCGGAGCCAUCCUUGGGAUACCACCCUUGUAGUACUGGGACUCUAACCAUAGGCCAUGAAUCUGGUCUUGGGACACUGUCAGGUGGGCAGUUUGACUGGGGCGGUCGCCUCCCAAAAGGUAACGGAGGCGCUCAAAGGUUCUCUCAGUACGGUCGGAAAUCGUACGUAGAGUGUAAAGGCAAAAGAGAGCUUGAUUGCAAGACAUACAGGUCGAGCAAGGAUGAAAAUCGGACUUAGUGAUCCGGUGGUUCUGCGUGGAAGGGCCAUCGCUCAACGGAUAAAAGCUACCCUGGGGAUAACAGGCUUAUCUCCCCCAAGAGUCCACAUCGACGGGGAGGUUUGGCACCUCGAUGUCGGCUCAUCACAUCCUGGGGCUGUAGUAGGUCCCAAGGGUUGGGCUGUUCGCCCAUUAAAGUGGUACGCGAGCUGGGUUCAGAACGUCGUGAGACAGUUCGGUCCCUAUCCGUCGCAGGCGUAGGAAAUUUGAGAAGACCUGUCCUUAGUACGAGAGGACCGGGAUGGACGUACCUCUGGUGUACCAGUUGUCCUGCCAAGGGCAUGGCUGGGUAGCUAUGUACGGAAUGGAUAAGCGCUGAAAGCAUCUAAGCGCGAAGCCAACUUCAAGAUAAGAUUUCCCACCGCAAGGGUAAGACCCCAGAAAGACUAUCUGGUUGA
rnacentral:rRNA from 1 species